rnacentral:lncRNA from 1 species
UGCCUGGGGGCUGGGACAAAGCAAAACCACAGAAAAGAGGAAGCCCUAAGUACUCCAGCCCAGAACCAGCAGCUGCCCCAGAGUACCUGCGUGGGCAGUCACCAGCCCUGUCUGUGCCGUGCUGCGCUGUGCUGUGCCGCGCCACACCGUGCCGAGCUGCAGUCCAUUCCACAGCUGAGCCCCGCCAGCUGGAGACCUACAGCAGCCCAGCUGUGGGGGAGCCAAAUGCCUCUCUGCCCUGCCUGCCGGGGACUGGAAACCUGGGGCACCUGAAAAUAAAGUACGGGUAUAUGCGGUGCCAAGACAACCAGCUCCCAGACCUUCAUGGCUGGGGAGAGCACCCCAAGCCCAGGGAGAGCACUCCAAGCCAGGUAGGAGCCCUGCCAUCACUGCAGGAGGGUGCUGGGACAAGCGAGGCACGUUUCAGGCAGGACCCUGAUCUGGCCCUGGGUGGGGUUUGGGACUUCCUGAUUGCUCCCAAGGACACCCCAAUGGCUGAUCCAUGAGUGGGUUCAGGGACGGAGCGUUGCUCUGGGGUGUGUGUUCACAGCAUUUCCUGCAGUGACUCCCAGCCAGCUGUGAGGCAGGACUCGGGGUACUCCCUCACUCUUUGGCAUGUGGCCCCAACUUGCAGCCCCCCAGAAAGAACCACAUGUUCCUCCCAGGCUUUGCUGUGGCAAGGCUGGCUGCAUUUCAAGCUCAAAAUGCCCCCCCAGGCAAAGCGAGAAGUGUGGAAUGGGACUGUGCCUCUUUGUCAGAUGGGGAAACUGAGGCACAGAGCAAGUGACAAGGAAAGCAUCCCUUGUGCAUGCAAUUGGGAGUAGUGUUCAUCAGUUGUGACAUGGGGACAGGUGGCUGCUGACUGUUGGCUCUGUACUCCCUCCCCAUCUCCUUCAGCAAUAGCACUGCUUGCCCCUAGAGACUGGGGUCACUGGGGAACACAUGAGGGAGCGUGAUGCAAAUGACACCGAUGCAAAUGACAGCACCAGCUUGGUGUGACAGGGCUGCAACAGCUCCUGCCUCUUCCUACCCUGACAGGUAGCCUCAGGAAAAGUCCUUUUAUCUGUU